CCUACGGGAGGCAGCAGUGGGGGAUAUUGCACAAUGGGGGAAACCCUGAUGCAGCGACGCCGCGUGUGGGAAGACGGUCUUCUGGAUUGUAAACCACUGUCCCCAGGGACGAAAAUGACGGUACCUGGGGAGGAAGCUCCGGCUAACUACGGGCCAGCAGCCGCGGUAAUACGUAGGGAGCAAGCGUUGUCCGGAAUUACGGGGUGUAAAUGGAGCGUAGGCGGGGAUGCAAGUUGGGUGUCAAAACUACCGGCUCAACCGAUAGUCGCACUCAAAACUGCAGCUCUUGAGUGAAGUAGAGGCAGGCGGAAUUCCUGGUGUAGCGGUGAAAUGCGUAGAUAUUAGGAGGAACACCAGUGGCGAAGGCGGCCUGCUGGGCUUUUACUGACGCUGAGGCUCGAAAGUGUGGGGAGCAAACAGGAUUAGAUACCCCUGUAGUC
rnacentral:rRNA from 1 species